UACGGAGGGGGCUAGCGUUGUUCGGAAUUACUGGGCGUAAAGCGCACGUAGGCGGCUUUGUAAGUUAGAGGUGAAAGCCCAGGGCUCAACCCUGGAAUUGCCUUUAAGACUGCAUCGCUUGAACAUCGGAGAGGUAAGUGGAAUUCCGAGUGUAGAGGUGAAAUUCGUAGAUAUUAGGAAGAACACCAGUGGCGAAGGCGGCUCACUGGCCCGGUACUGACGCUGAGGCGCGAAAGCGUGGGGAGCAAACAGG
rnacentral:rRNA from 1 species